rnacentral:rRNA from 1 species
AUGGCCAGGCAGCAUGUUCCUUCCAUGUUUGCCGUUGCUCUCUUCAUCGGAGCAUUCGCUUCUGUUCCUACAAGUGUGCAAUCCAUCGGCGUGUGCUACGGCGUGAUCGCCAACAACCUCCCGCCGGCGAACGAGGUGGUGCAGCUCUACAGGUCCAAAGGCAUCACCGGCAUGCGCAUCUACUUCGCCGACGCCAAGGCCCUCUCCGCGCUCCGCAACUCCGGCAUCAGCCUCAUCCUCGACGUCGGCAACGACCAACUCGCCAACCUCGCCGCCAGCACCUCCAACGCGGCGUCAUGGGUGCAGAAGAACGUCCGCCCAUACUACCCGGCUGUAAACAUCAAGUACAUCGCGGCGGGCAACGAGGUCCAGGGCGGCGCCACGCAGAGCAUCGUGCCGGCCAUGCGCAACCUCAACGCGGCCCUCUCCGCUGCUGGGCUCGGCGCCAUCAAGGUGUCCACCUCCAUCCGGUUUGACGAGGUGGCCAAGUCCUUCCCGCCCUCCGACGGCGUGUUCGCGAAUGCCUACAUGACGGACGUGGCCCGGCUCCUGGCGAGCACCGGCGCGCCGCUGCUGGCCAACGUGUAUCCCUACUUCGCCUACAAGCGCGACCCGCAGAACAUCAAGCUAAACUACGCGACGUUCCGGCCGGGACCCUCGGUUCGGGACGACAAGAGCGGGCUGACCUACACAUGCCUGUUCGACGCGAUGGUGGACGCCGUGGUCGCCGCGCUGGAGAAGGCCGGGGCGCCGGCGGUGAGGGUGGUGGUGUCCGAGAGCGGGUGGCCGUCGGCAAGCGGGUUCGCGGCGACGGCCGACAACGCUAGGGCGUACAACCAGGGGCUGAUAGACCACGUCGGCGGGGGCACACCGAAGAGGCGCGGCGCGCUGGAGACGUACAUCUUCGCCAUGUUCAACGAGAACUUCAAGAGAGGGGACCUCGUGGAGAAGCACUUCGGGCUGUUCAAGCCGGACAAGUCGCCGGCGUACCCCAUCCAGUUCAAGUGA